CCGUAGGUGAACCUGCGGAGGGAUCAUUACUGAGUAUACGCUGUACAACCCUUUGUGAACAUACCUAUAACUGUUGCUUCGGCGGGUAGGGUCUCCGCGACCCUCCCGGCCUCCCGCCUCCGGGCGGGUCGGCGCCCGCCGGAGGAUAACCAAACUCUGAUUUAACGACGUUUCUUCUGAGUGGUACAAGCAAAUAAUCAAAACUUUUAACAACGGAUCUUUUGGUUCUGGCAUCGAUGAAGAACGCAGCGAAAUGCGAUAAGUAAUGUGAAUUGCAGAAUUCAGUGAAUCAUCGAAUCUUUGAACGCACAUUGCGCCCGCCAGCAUUCUGGCGGGCAUGCCUGUUCGAGCGUCAUUUCAACCCUCAAGCUCUGCUUGGUGUUGGGGCCCUACAGCCGAUGUAGGCCCUCAAAGGUAGUGGCGGACCCUCCCGGAGCCUCCUUUGCGUAGUAACUUUACGUCUCGCACUGGGAUCCGGAGGGACUCUUGCCGUAAAACCCCCCAAUUUUCCAAAGGUUGACCUCGGAUCAGGUAUGAAUACCCGCUGAACUUAAGCAUAUCAAUAAGCGGAG
rnacentral:rRNA from 1 species